AACCUACGGGGGGCAGCAGUGGGGAAUAUUGCACAAUGGGGGGAACCCUGAUGCAGCGACGCCGCGUGGGUGAAGGAGCGUUUCGGCGCGUAAAGCCCUAUCGGCAGGGAAGAAGGAGGACGGUACCUGACUAAGAAGCCCCGGCUAACUACGGGCCAGCAGCCGCGGUAAUACGUAGGGGGGAAGCGUUAUCCGGAUUUACUGGGUGUAAAGGGGGCGCAGACGGCAGCGCAAGCCAGGAGUGAAAGCCCGGGGCCCAACCCCGGGGCUGGUCUUGGAACGGCGCGGCUGGAGUGCAGGGGGGG
rnacentral:rRNA from 1 species